rnacentral:rRNA from 1 species
UACGUAGGGUGCUAGCGUUGUCCGGAUUUAUUGGGCGUAAAGAGCUCGUAGGCGGUCUGUCGCGUCGGAUGUGAAAACCCAGGGCUCAACCCUGGGCCUGCAUUCGAUACGGGCAGACUAGAGUGUGGCAGGGGAGACUGGAAUUCCUGGUGUAGCGGUGAAAUGCGCAGAUAUCAGGAGGAACACCGGUGGCGAAGGCGGGUCUCUGGGCCAAUACUGACGCUGAGGAGCGAAAGCGUGGGGAGCGAACAGG